rnacentral:rRNA from 1 species
GCGUUCCGAUGGGGGAGCGGCGGACGGGUGAGUAACGCGUGGGAAUUUUCCUCAAGGUACGGAACAACUCAGGGAAACUUGGGCUAAUACCGUAUGAUGCAGAGAUGCCAAAGAUUUAUCGCCUUGGGAUAAGCCCGCGUCAGAUUAGGUAGUUGGUGGGGUAACGGCCUACCAAGCCUGCGAUCUGUAGCUGGUCUGAGAGGACGAUCAGCCACACUGGGACUGAGACACGGCCCAGACUCCUACGGGAGGCAGCAGUGGGGAAUCUUGCGCAAUGGGCGAAAGCCUGACGCAGCCAUGCCGCGUGAAUGAUGAAGGUCUUAGGAUUGUAAAGUUCUUUCGCUCGUGACGAUGAUGACGGUAACGAGAGAAGAAGCCCCGGCUAACUUCGUGCCAGCAGCCGCGGUAAUACGAAGGGGGCUAGCGUUGUUCGGAAUUACUGGGCGUAAAGCGCGCGUAGGCGGUUUUGCAAGCCAG